CCUACGGGUGUCAGCAGUGAGGAAUAUUGGUCAAUGGGCGCGAGCCUGACCCAGCCAAGUCGCGUGAAGGAUGACUGCCCUACGGGUUGUAAACUUCUUUUAUAAAGGAAUAAAGUGAGGCACGUGUGCCUUUUUUUAUUUACUUUAUGAAUAAGGAUCUGCUAACUCCGUGCCAGCAUCCGCGGUAAUACGGAGGAUCCGAGCGUUAUCCGGAUUUAUUGGGUUUAAAGGGAGCGUAGAUGGGUGGUUAAGUCAGUUGUGAAAGUUUGCGGCUCAACCGUAAAAUUGCAAUUGAUACUGGCAGUCUUGAGUACAGUUGAGGUAGGCGGAAUUCGUGGUGUAGCGGUGAAAUGCUUAGAUAUCACGAAGAACUCCGAUUGCGAAGGCAGCUUACUAAACUGCCACUGACAUUGAUGCUCGAAAGUGUGGGUAUCAAACAGGAUUAGAUACCCUGGUAGUC
rnacentral:rRNA from 1 species